CUGCCUACCAGCAGCUGUCAGUGAGGGACCACUGGGGAAGUGAUUCAGUCACGGAGAUUUACAGAAAAAUCAUUAUCUGACCAUGACCUGACCUCAAGAACAAAGGUUCUGACACCAGAGAAGUUAGCAACAACCAACAGGAGUGUGACAGGAAGGAAGGAGAGGUUCACCGCUGCCUUAAGACCUGAGCCGAGACUCUAUAAUGUUUUAGUUUUGAUGGGCCUCACUGUGCAUCAGACAUAUAGACUUGAGAUUCGGUACCAGAAGGAAGACCUUUAAACAAAAGGAACAGAAAGUGUGGCAGAGCUUGAUACCCUCUUGGAGUUUCACUAGCCCAGCAGUAAAGACAUGUUAUGAGAUGGAACAGCAAGAGGUUAAGAUGAGG
ensembl:lncRNA